AAAGGUGGCAAUGGCGGCGGGGUCCCACCUCUUCCCAUCCCGAACAGAGAAGUUAAGCCCGCUUGCGCCGAUGGUACUGCCGAAAGGCGGGAGAGUAGGCAGCCGCCGUCC
rnacentral:rRNA from 1 species